UCAAAUGAGGAAUCUUAAUUCACAUCAGCAGUCCCAUAAAGACUGCUCUGAAAUGUCUCAAAACUCAGAAAUUCUGUGAAUUAUGAAACAUCAUAACCAGAAGGAAAUAUGAUUACAUCCUGCUUACCACCAAACAACUUUGAGGUCCCCUGAAUGGCUGCCCAGACCCCCUGGAUCCAGAUUCACCAGCUUGGAUGCGGCAGCUGCCUCAUCUCCCUGUCUCCACAAAAUUCAGCAAUACUGAAGUCUUGGAAAAAUCACCCACCAACCUCAGCACCAACACAAAUAAGUG